GAUGAACGCUGGCGGCGUGCCUAAUACAUGCAAGUCGAGCGAACAGACGAGGAGCUUGCUCCUCUGACGUUAGCGGCGGACGGGUGAGUAACACGUGGAUAACCUACCUAUAAGACUGGGAUAACUUCGGGAAACCGGAGCUAAUACCGGAUAAUUUAUUGAACCGCAUGGUUCAAUAGUGAAAGACGGUUUUGCUGUCACUUAUAGAUGGAUCCGCGCCGCAUUAGCUAGUUGGUAAGGUAACGGCUUACCAAGGCAACGAUGCGUAGCCGACCUGAGAGGGUGAUCGGCCACACUGGAACUGAGACACGGUCCAGACUCCUACGGGAGGCAGCAGUAGGGAAUCUUCCGCAAUGGGCGAAAGCCUGACGGAGCAACGCCGCGUGAGUGAUGAAGGUCUUCGGAUCGUAAAACGCUGUUAUUAGGGAAGAACAAAUGUGUAAGUAACUAUGCACGUCUUGACGGUACCUAAUCAGAAAGCCACGGCUAACUACGU
rnacentral:rRNA from 1 species